rnacentral:rRNA from 1 species
UGGGGAAUAUUGCACAAUGGGCGAAAGCCUGAUGCAGCAACGCCGCGUGAGGGAUGACGGCCUUCGGGUUGUAAACCUCUUUUAGUAGGGAAGAAGCGAAAGUGACGGUACCUGCAGAAAAAGCACCGGCUAACUACGUGCCAGCAGCCGCGGUAAUACGUAGGGUGCAAGCGUUGUCCGGAAUUAUUGGGCGUAAAGAGCUCGUAGGCGGUUUGUCGCGUCUGCUGGGAAAUCCCGAGGCUCAACCUCGGGUCUGCAGUGGGUACGGGCAGACUAGAGUGUGGUAGGGGAGAUUGGAAUUCCUGGUGUAGCGGUGGAAUGCGCAGAUAUCAGGAGGAACACCGAUGGCGAAGGCAGAUCUCUGGGCCAUUACUGACGCUGAGGAGCGAAAGCAUGGGGAGCGAACA